rnacentral:rRNA from 1 species
GACGAACGCUGGCGGCGUGCCUAACACAUGCAAGUCGAACGGGACCAGGGGCAACUCUGGUUCAGUGGCGGACGGGUGCGUAACACGUGAGGAACAUGACCUUCGGCGGGGGAUAGCCGGCCCAACGGCCGGGUAAUACCGCGUACGACCUUUCGGGGACAUCCCUGGAUGGUGAAAGCAGCAAUGCGCCGAUGGAGUGCCUCGCGGCCUAUCAGCUAGUUGGUGAGGUAACGGCUCACCAAGGCGACGACGGGUAGCUGGUCUGAGAGGAUGGCCAGCCACAUUGGGACUGAGACACGGCCCAGACUCCUACGGGAGGCAGCAGUGGGGAAUAUUGCGCAAUGGGCGAAAGCCUGACGCAGCGACGCCGCGUGAGGGAUGACGGCCUUCGGGUUGUAAACCUCUUUCAGCUCCGACGAAGCGAAAGUGACGGUAGGAGCAGAAGAAGCACCGGCCAAC